GACGAACGCUGGCGGCGUGCUUAACACAUGCAAGUCGAACGGAAAGGCCCUGCUUUUGUGGGGUGCUCGAGUGGCGAACGGGUGAGUAACACGUGAGUAACCUGCCCUUGACUUUGGGAUAACUUCAGGAAACUGGGGCUAAUACCGGAUAGGAGCUCCUGCUGCAUGGUGGGGGUUGGAAAGUUUCGGCGGUUGGGGAUGGACUCGCGGCUUAUCAGCUUGUUGGUGGGGUAGUGGCUUACCAAGGCUUUGACGGGUAGCCGGCCUGAGAGGGUGACCGGCGACAUUGGGACUGAGAUACGGCCCAGACUCCUACGGGAGGCAGCAGUGGGGAAUAUUGCACAAUGGGCGGAAGCCUGAUGCAGCAACGCCGCGUGCGGGAUGACGGGCUUCGGGUUGUAAACCGCUUUCGCCUGUGACGAAGAGUGAGUGACGGUACUGGGUAAAGAAGCACCGGCUAACUACGUG
rnacentral:rRNA from 1 species